rnacentral:rRNA from 1 species
AACGAACGCUGGCGGCAUGCCUAACACAUGCAAGUCGAACGAGACCUUCGGGUUUAGUGGCGCACGGGUGCGUAACGCGUGGGAAUCUGCCCUUGGGUUCGGAAUAACAGCGAGAAAUUGCUGCUAAUACCGGAUGAUGACGUAAGUCCAAAGAUUUAUCGCCCAAGGAUGAGCCCGCGUAGGAUUAGCUAGUUGGUGAGGUAAAGGCUCACCAAGGCGACGAUCCUUAGCUGGUCUGAGAGGAUGAUCAGCCACACUGGGACUGAGACACGGCCCAGACUCCUACGGGAGGCAGCAGUGGGGAAUAUUGGACAAUGGGCGAAAGCCUGAUCCAGCAAUGCCGCGUGAGUGAUGAAGGCCUUAGGGUUGUAAAGCUCUUUUACCCGGGAUGAUAAUGACAGUACCGGGAGAAUAAGCUCCGGCUAACUCCGUGCCAGCAGCCGCGGUAAU